UUGUCCGGGCAUAUUUAAAUUUUCAUAGAAUUGAUUUCAUUUUUAUUUUACAUCAUAUGCAUAGCAUGACAUACGUUCCAUCAUGAACAAUACCUAAAAUAUCAGUCAGAAUAAAUUUAUUGAAAAUACAGACAAAUCGGUUGAAUCAUUCCUCAAGAACAUGCAAAAUCAGCGGGUAAAAAGUUUCAAAUUUAAAAUUACAGACACCAAUAUUAUUAAUCUACGGUUCACGUAGUUUAACCUGGUGUGCUCGUUGUAUUUUUCAGCGACUAUUUCGGUCGCAUUUUGAUCCGUCUGAGCCUUUUAACCGGUGCAAAUUUAUUUCAGAAUAUGAAGAAACGCUGUAUUUUUUCAAUAAAUAUAUUUUAUGCUGAUCAUUUUAGUGUGACCAAUUUAAUUUUCCGAGUAAAUUUGUACUCGGUUUCUAUUUCUAAUUGGUCAAUUUUGUUUUGGUUUAGUUAUUAAUUAAAAGUAAUUUAAGUUUAUUUGAAUCAAAUAUUAAAUAAAAAUUUUAGGAGUUUAUUUUCUUAAAGGAAUAAUAAUUUAAUGAAAAAAUAUAUUUGGUACAUUGGAUCCUGCCAGCUGGUAUCCACUCACAUGUCUCCUCACGCAGCCACCUAUCACUGUCCUCACGCCUCCCUACUCAGCUACCAACACGUCUCUCUCAAUCACUCAGCUACCAACAACUCUCUCUCUGUCCACUAUUUCACUCACCCUUAUCCUCUCUUUCACACUCCACCAAUUCACUCACCACAAACAAAAUUCAUUCACACACACAUUUCUCUGAACCUCUCUUCUCUCUCUACUCUACGAAAAAAAAGAAAAAUAAGAAGAGGAUUUUCCUCUUCAUCUCUUCAUCGCCUCCACCACCCAAAACCACCCUAACAGCCACCAUUCACCGCCGAAAUCCACCGAUUAACCUCCACCCAAUAAAACCCCUUCACCAACAACUCCAUCGCUUCACCUUCAAAUCGCUACCUUCAACCCCUAAAUCAACCCGCCACUCACAAAUCGAAAACCCUCGCCGCUCAAGCCACCAUCGACCAACGACCUUCUGCUCUCUCCGCCGUAGACCGGUCCAUCACCAUUUCUUCAAGAUCCUUCCUAUCACCGGUAACCGCAGAAUAAAACCCAACGGCGCUUCGGCAUUUAGCUCGGAUCUAGAUUCUCGGUGACUUAAGGAUAUUUGGGAGUAUUUGAUUCACAACGGUAGCUUGAAGAAGACAGUGUCGUGACUUAUCUUCAAAAAGCUCAAGGUUGGAGUAUGGUUUUUCUGUUGUACGCGAACGAAGCAACGCCGAAACCACAAUGGUUUGAGGAUGUUGAAAGGGGUUGGUAUUAGCAGUUGAUGCGGUCUGCUAAGGAUGUAGUAACUCGGUGUAAAAGCAACAUCGCUCGCAAGCCAAGGAUGCAACAACAACGGUUCUGUUAUUUGGUAACUCCUUUGUUCAAGAACUCAUCACAUUUUUGAGAUGUUUUUUUUUAUUAUUUGAAUCAUUUUAUGUUGGAAUACGUUGAUAUUAUGGAUAGACUUUGUGUGAUAUAUACUGCGUUGUUAACAUUGCAACAACCACCUCCAAGAAUUUGGUAAUCUUUAAAUCCUUUGGUUUUGUUUGCA